UAACGGCGGAAUCGUUGCGGGCGACUAGGAAAAAUACAUUUUCCGAUGGCACAGCACCCACGACUUCGCCCUCACUUCACCGCCAUGUUGCAAAAUCGCCGAUCCGCCGUCCCGUCAUGCCACGCACUUCGUCAUAUGACAGCGCCACCGCAAACAGCCAAUCGGAGCGCGCGGCGCAUGCGCGCCGAUGCCUCCGCGGCGCCACAAUCGCCGAAUUGCCGCCAACGGCGAGCCAGCGCAGAGUUUGAAGUUGACUGCGGUUCCAACGUUUCCUUUUGCUGCGCGAAUUAUUUUCUUCUCGUUGUCUCCUCGUGGAAAAAGUCGCGUCUAUUUUUACAGAUUUGUGCAUAGAUUCGUUUUAUCGCGUCUCCAAUUCAUUCUUCGCAACAACUUGUCGAUGAGUUUAAGCAAGGGAAAUGGAAACUAAAAGUGUCAACAGCAACAUGAAACUGCCAGAGAAAUUCCAUUUACAGCUUAUCUUUUUGUACAAAGAAGCGAAGACAAGGGAUGAGCCGACGAGAAACGAGCGACGACACGAAGGGAUUUAACACCCUUACGGAUUCGGUUCAUCAAGCUGUAAGUUUACAAAUCAUUACUACAACUAUAGUAUUUUACGUCUUCUCUUUGUUCAAACUCAAAGUAU